GUGCCCAGGGGAAAAUUCGUCAACACCACGAGGGGCUCGACCUCGCUGGCACCAACCGCGAAUCGUCGAGCCCCUAGAUCCCCAAAGUCUCACCGCCUCUUUGUGAUUUCUGGCGACCACGACAGCCAUGUCCGCCGAUCUGCCACCUCCCUUCCCCCAUAUGAUUUUUGGUUUAGAGGAUUAAGGGAUUGCUUACUUCCCUGUUUUGGCGGGUGGCGGCUGGAAAUUUUUGUUAGGUAAUAGAUAUAUAUUUGUACUGUAGAAACUUUUAUAACAUAAAUUAAUGAGUUCGAUUCUAUUGAUGGACGCUGCAUGCUUUUUUUUCC